rnacentral:rRNA from 1 species
GAUGAACGCUGACAGAAUGCCUAACACAUCAGCAACGGAUUGGUGGCGGUCGGGUGAGUAACGCGUAAAGCACUUACCCCACAGGUAGGGACAAGAUUUGGACAGGAAUGCUAAUACCUAACAAUGUGAGAGAGCUUUGCGUCCCAUUAGCUCGUUGGAGAGGUAACGGCUCACCAAGGCGAGGAUGUGUAGCCGGCCUGAGAGGGGGAUCGGCCACAGGGUGACUGAGGCGCGGCCCGUACUCCUACUGGAGGCAGCAGUGGGGAAUAGUGGACAACAGACCGAAGUCUGAUCCAGGAAUUCUGUGUGCAAGAUGAAGUUUUCGGAAUGAAAAGUGCUUUCAGUAGGGAAGCGGUACCAACAGAAGAAGUGACGGCUAAAUACGUGCCAGCAGCCGCGGUAAUUC